GUCCUUUUUAGACACGAGAGAAACCCGCAAAGAACUCAAAACAGCUUCUUUGCGGGUUUUUUUAUGAAAUCUCCGGCGGACUCUUACGAGGAUUCAGAAAAAUGCAGGAAAGUGAGAAAGGAGGUGAGUUGAUAUGGCCAAAGGUCAUGUAAAAUGGUUCAACGAGAGGAAGGGCUUUGGAUUCAUUUCCAGAGACGAUGGAAACGAUGUGUUCGUUCACUUCUCCGCAAUUAAAAGAGAUGGAUUUAAGUCUCUUAAUGAAGGCGACGAAGUAGAGUUCGAAGUUUCCGAAGGUCCGAAAGGCCCGCAGGCGGCGGAUGUCGUCGUUUUGGGCUGAGAAAGAAGCUCGUUUAGCCUGAGAGAAAAGAGAUCCCGGAUUUUUUUCGGGGUCUCUUUU
rnacentral:other from 1 species